GACAGAGGGUGCAAACGUUGUUCGGAUUUACUGGGCGUAAAGCGCGUGUAGGCGGCUUGGCAAGUCGGAUGUGAAAGCCCACGGCUCAACCGUGGAAGCGCAUCCGAAACUGCUUCGCUCGAGUCUCGGAGAGGAAGGUGGAAUGCUUGGUGUAGAGGUGAAAUUCGUAGAUAUUCGGAAGAACACCAGUGGCGAAGGCGGCUCACUGGCCCGGUACUGACGCUGAGGUGCGAAAGCGUGGGGAGCAAACAGG
rnacentral:rRNA from 1 species